rnacentral:rRNA from 1 species
GAUGAACGCUAGCUACAGGCUUAACACAUGCAAGUCGAGGGGAAACGGCAUUGAGUGCUUGCACUCUUUGGACGUCGACCGGCGCACGGGGGAGUAACGCGUAUCCAACCUUCCCAUUACUGUGGGAUAACCUGCCGAAAGGCAGACUAAUACCGCAUAGUCUUCGAUGACGGCAUCAGAUUUGAAGUAAAGAUUUAUCGGUGAUGGAUGGGGAUGCGUCUGAUUAGCUUGUUGGCGGGGUAACGGCCCACCAAGGCGACGAUCAGUAGGGGUUCUGAGAGGAAGGUCCCCCACAUUGGAACUGAGACACGGUCCAAACUCCUACGGGAGGCAGCAGUGAGGAAUAUUGAUCAAUGGACGGAAGUCUGAACCAGCCAAGUAGCGUGCAGGAUGACGGCCCUAUGGGUUGUAAACUGCUUUUGUAUGGGGAUAAAGUUAGGGACGUGUCCCUAUUUGCAGGUACCAUACGAAUAAGGACCGGCUAAGUCCGUG